GUGGAUUAGAUACCCCGGUAGUCCUGGCAGUAAACGGUGCACGUGUGGUGUGGGAGGAUUCGACCCCUUCCGCGCCGGAGCUAACGCGUUAAACGUGCCGCCUGGGGAGUACGGUCGCAAGAUUAAAACUCAAAGAAAUUGACGGGGGCCCGCACAAGCGGUGGAGUAUGUGGCUUAAUUCGAUGCAACGCGAAGAACCUUACCAGGCCUUGACAUGCAUUUCUAAGUUGGUGAAAGCCAGCGAGUCCCGAAAGGGACAACUUGCACGGGUGCUGCACGGCCGUCGUCAGCU
rnacentral:rRNA from 1 species